GCUCAUUUCAAGUGGCUGCAGCAGCUUUCCCCCUGCCCCUUGAGUGCGGCAGCCUCAGAGCUGGUGGAGAGGCAGAGCGCAUGCAGUUGGACAAAUUCGUAGAUAUGGAAUUUCCUGGAUGAAAUGGUACUUGGAGAAUUAAAGCUGUCUGGAUUCAGUUCCUGGAAUUUUCUAGAAUGGUGUAAGAGGGAAAUGUAAGAUAUGUAUAAGGAGCAGAAAUAAAUAAUGUUUGUCAGCCUGUUGCUGGCAGGAGUCUGAUCUAGGGAUUUAAAGGAGGUAGGGUGAGUCUCAGUCCAUGCUAUUAAGGCCACCAUCUCUUGCAGAUGUGAGCUGGAGAGAGCCAGCUGGUGGGGGAAGAGGGAUCCCUGCCCAGUGCCCGUUUGCCACCUGGUGACCAUAUUGAGAACUUUGCACAUUACCUAUUUACUGAGGCCGUAAAAAUAACCAAAGAUCUGAAGAGAGGACUCCUGAAGCAAGCUCUAAGCCUUGCCGCCUGCCCAGGCGAUCAGGACGGUGGGCGACUGUUACCGCUGAGGAAAAACAAGAAGAGCUUGGCGGGGUUUCUUAGCGCUUUGGCCUUGAGAUGGGUUAAUGGACCGUGCUUCUCGCUGCCCUGCCGGGACGGAGUGGGGCGGGUGGCCUGAGCGGGGCAACCGAGGGGGUGUCCUGACACAGCGACCAGGCAGAAGUGGCAGCGCCCGGUCUCCCACCCCGGUGGGGCAGGGGCCGGCCCCGCGCGCAAGGAGUGGCCCUCGGGCGAGCAGCGGGGCGGCAGGCGGGCGGGCGCCGGAGGGGCCACCCACGCGGGCAGGCUCUCCCGGAAGCAGCUGGGGGAUAAAGGCUGCACUGAAGGGCGCUGCUGCAGAGGAGGCGCGCUGCAGAGACGACACACGUCCUCCCCAGAGGGGGCAGAUUGUGCUUUGGCGGCUGGGAGAGGAGACCGCGCGCAGGGAGCAGCCACCCGCAGCUGCAGAAUCCUGGCCGUCACUUACCCCUCACUCGAAUGACCACGGCCGGGAUACGGUCGAGUGGACGGAGGCAUUCGCCUCAGGCCCAAAAUUUAAGGGCGCACCAAGACACUCAGUAAAUAAGAAAAAAAAAAUUAAUGCCGUAUCUUUAAAAUUCAAAGUUAAUACAAAAAUUCCAUGAUGAACAAUGUGUGAAAAUGUUAAAAAUAAAGACAUGACCCGACCCUGACUUGGCACUUGGCCACGCUUCCUCACCCGAGUCCCCAGCUCUGCAAACCAGCUCGGAAGUGAUCCCCUCCUCUCUCCGCGAUGUCAAGUCCCGGACCUCUGCCGUACUCAGCAUAGGCUCCUCCGUUGCAGUGAGUUGGGUUUUCCCUGUGUACGUGCCUCCCUAGCUGUGCGGAAGGAAGGAGGGACGGCUGCUUCCCCACUUGUGCCUCAAGGAGCCAAGCCCCGCGCUUUGCACCUGGCGUGGGGCCAGCGUGGAGUUCGGCAGACACGGAAGGCCAGAGUUUAUGCAGUGCUGGCCUCAGGUUGCAAAGUUCUGCAUUGGAACCACCGAACCCCCACCGAAGCCAGUGAAAAUAAGGUAAAGAGGAAGAGCAAACGGAGGAGGGGAUCAUGAAACUACUGUUCAAAUUUAUGUUCUUUUUCUCAAAAAAUAUAUAUAUAUUUGGAAGCUUUGGGCAUGGCCAGUCUCCUGAAAGAUCAGGGGAAAGGGCGAAGUUGUCGGAGCACUUCCCCAAGUCCUGGUUUACUAAACUGAGUUUGCUUACCUUGAGGUGCUAAAUAGUCAAACAUUCUGCUUGGCAUGAACUGGGAAGAAAUUGGGGAAGUGCAGACCUUGCGGACUGCGUGCGGCAGGGCUCACCACCCACCUACCUCCGCUUCAGUGUUCCUUCUCUGCCCGGGUUGCACUGUUCCACUCUGUAGCCAGCGGAGGGCACUGCUGCUGCGUAGAAUCCAUUUUGACUUUUUGGGGGAAAAAUUUUCAGAGCUUAAAAAAAAAAAAAUACUUGGCUCCAGUAAGAAAUAUGUACAAGCUCCCAUGAAAUUUUAAUGUGGAAAAAUAGAUUAUUAUUAAGAACUUAUGGAUUUCUAUUUGAUUAAUGGCCCAUCGAACCACGAGAGGACAGUGAAGAUGUUUCAUAACUGUCUUUGUUAUCAAGAUUAAAAUAGCAAGAACAAAAUAGCAAUGUUAUAAUAAAUAUCAGCAUGAUAUCCCUGAAUUAUUUAGGGAACAAACAGGACUUUUUCUCCUAGGAAUGUGUGUGCCAAGUCCUAGUAAUAAGGAAAUAGGUCUGAUUUGUCCUAAACAUCUGCUUUUUUUAUGCAUUGCAAACAUAAGCCCUUUCAUUAAUAUCAGGACAGUUAAACGUAAGUCCAUCUUACCAAAGAAAUGUGGCAUCUGAGGUCCUUUAUGAUUUGCCUCAACAGACUUUUCCAAAUUUGUUUUUUACUAUCCACUUCAGCCACCUUGUGUUUUAGCCUCAUCUAGUCUAGUCCCCAUACUUCCAGCACUUUCCUGCCUCUGUCUUCGCCCCGUUCUUACUUCCCACUCAACUCACACCCUUCUGCAUAUACUGGAAAUCCUAUAUUAGAGCUUUAAGGUCCAAUUCAAUGCGGACCCUUUUGUGAGUGCUGCAUGCAGGUCUUACUGGCUCUACUGUGAGCACUUAUGCAAUGAAAUGACCUAUUCUGUUCUAGAUGUCAAGACAUUCACAAAAUGAUUAAAACAUGGGGAAACAGAAGGCACUACAAAGAAGUGCCAUGAAUGCUGUAAUAAUCAGAGUAAGUACGGGAGGGAGGCUCUGGGAGCUCUGAUCAGUGGUUCCCAGUCAGAACCAGCUGGAGGGAGCAGGGAAAGCUUCUUGGAAAAGGUGGUGCUUGAACUAGUGUUGAAAGCUAAGGACAGCUGGAUGGUUGAGGUAGCCCCUCACCUGGCUGGCUUGUAGGUUACAGGGGAGGAUGGGAGGAGGUAGUGGGGGAGGAUAUUAGGAGAGUAAGCAGGGUGCCAUCAAUCAGAGGAAGGUGGGACUUUGCUCAACAAUCCCUGGGGCCUCAUGGGAGUGAUUUAAAGGGGAGUAAGUACUGGAUUAGACUCCUAUUUUAGGAAGGUUGCUCUGGAGGCAGUGUGGUCAGUAGGCUUGAUAGCAGGGUGAUGACAGAAGACUGCAUUAUUCUUCAGAUGAGGAAUGAAGGGCCUGAACUGAACCAAGGCACAUAAAGUGGGAAUGGACAGAAGGAAGAAGGUUAGGCCCCAAGAACACACUGUUUGUGCACAGACUCUUAUGGAAUGUGUGGCUUUCUACCUUCUAAUGUGUUAUGUUUAUCUUCCGAGAAGGCUAAGUUCCUUGAGAUGGAGGCUUUUCCUCAGUUCAUUUGUUCCUCAUAUCACAUGGCCUUGUACAUGAUAAGCUCUUAUCAGCACAAGUUGAUUGAGGAGAACGAAAUCAAUGUCUGAAGUGUUUGAUCAUGGGGGUUUACUUUUGAAAUGCUCUGUUAUUGCUCUUUGGUCUCAAAAGUCAGUUGAAUGACAUCUUUGUUUAUCAUGUUAGUAAAUGCAUUGUGGGAGUUUAUAAAUUUUGAAAAAAAUAAGAUUUCUCAUUGUUACCAUUCUUACUGGUUACCAUUUAUGGGUAUUAUACUUGAAAAUGUUAAAUGAUUCUAAGGGUCUGUACUUUUUGGGCUUGUGUAUGUGUUUUAAAAUUUUUGGAGGAAAAUAAUCGCUCUGCACAGCUUAUAUAAAAGCAAACCCCUUAAGACCAAAUGUCCUUUCAUAACAAAAGCUGCAAUGAACUCAAUCCUGUUUAUUCAUACAAAUCCUCACAGGGUGUGGCAUUUACAAAAUUCUUUGUUCUUCUCAGUUGAAAUGCUGUUAGAAAAACAUCUUGAGAGCCUCCUGCCAUUUUGGGCACUUGAGCAAUGUGAGCCCCAACUCAUGACUUCAGAGCUCAGUCAGCUAAGCUUUAUUUCACCUUACAACGUAUCCUAGGCACCCUUGGACUCGCAAGGACUAGAAGAAUGAUGUUACACUGUCAACCCUGUAGAUAAACAUACUUUGGAAAAAUACCCUGAGUAGAGUUACACUUCAUUAUACUGUUAAGCAGGAAAAUACAUAUGAUUGGGGUGGAAAGAGAAAAAGGCCAGAUAAGUCCACUAAAAAGACCCAAAGUUAAUCAAUUAAAACUCAAAAAACCAGGAGCAACUUGGCCUGGAAUGUUUGAAUAUUCCCCAGAUAAAGGAAGGUACCUCAGCAUAGCCCAUGUCUUUAUUGUGUUAAUCAUGCAGGCCCAGUUUAUUUUUUAUCUUUACCUAUAUGCUGUUUUUUUCUCCUUCCAGCCCUAAUCAAAAAGUUUGUAACCUAGGCAACAAAUUUAACAUGCAGGCCCAGCCAUAAACAACAUAGUAAAAGGCAGGAAGGAUUACAUUUUACAGAUUAUAUUUUAAUACCCGGGAAGUUAACAAUGUAAGAUUCUUAACUUACUCUUUAGCAAACAGACAAUAACUCAGCCCACCUUGGGGGCUGGGCAGGCAGCCUUGUUUGAUAGCUCCCAGACUAAGACUCCAGAGAAAUCAGAGCAGGAAGCUGCUUGUGUUAACUUAAUUCUAAGUAUUCAAAGACCACUUAACAGGUCUACACCCCCAGGCCUUAGUCACAUUCCUGAAGAAUCCUUAAAAGAGGGAACCCCCAACCUUUUGGGGCACUCCUCUCUCUGAGGUCGCGCGCACUUUCUGAGUGCGAAACUUUAACUUUUCCCAACCUUUCAGGGCACAUCUCCUCACUGAGGUUGCCUGCUGCACUUUUUCUUUCUUUAAGUAACUUUAAAUAAAACUUUACUCUGCUUCACUACUGUGUCUCUGCCCUUCAAUUAUUUGUUGUGGCAGGGACAAGAACCGAGGAAAAUACACAACGCUCCCCCAACAGUACCAUUGUUUAUUAGCAUCCUAACAGCUUCCAGACUGUAUAGCUUGCAGAACUGAAAGGCAACAUAGGAUGUUUAUUUUAGAGGCUUUAUUCUUCACAGUAACUUGGCUCUAGCAUCUUGAAAACGUGACAUAUCCUUAGCAAGGUCAGAGAACACAGGAUGAAACUUUGACCCUAAGUGAAUUUUAUGGGUAGAAGUAUGUUCUAUCAUGUGAAAUUUGUCUGAGUGAAGUUUUGCCCAGUGAUAUAGUUAAACAUAGUAAUCAUUCUCCCUACUCAGGGUUAUCCAUUUUUAUCUCGUCUGCUUCUUACUUCUUUUCACAAAUGUCCAUCUCUUCCAUGGUAUAGAAAAGAGUUGUUUAUUAGUGUUAUGAGGCUGAACUGUCACCAGCUUGAAAUAAUCCAGUUUUGGGUAAAAUUGCUGUAAAUCUUCUGUUCCAAUUUGGUAGAGAAAAAGAAAACUUGGAAAUUGAGUCUUUUACCUUUAAAUUGAUAUUGGGAUUCAAGCUUUAUAAUGCCUUAAUGAUGCCGGGGUUCUUGUUCACAAAGCCGAAGAAUGAACUUCACAGUCAAGGUAGGACAGCAAGGUACAGGCUUUUAUUUAGAGGUAAAGGAAAGAACAGAGCUCCCGGCUCACGCCAGGCGGGGACAAGAGAGUCCGUAGUGGUGCGUUGUCUAGGGG